rnacentral:misc_RNA from 1 species
GAUGAAGAACGUAGCGAAAUGCGAUAAGUAAUGCGAAUUGCAGAAUCCGUGAGUCAUCGAAUCUUUGAACGCACAUUGCGCCCACUGGUAUUCCGGUGGGCAUGCCUGUUCGAGCGUCAUUAUCCUCCCUCAAACCCCGGGUUUGGUGUUGGACCCAAGUUGUGUGAACAACUGGUCUCAAAGACAAUGACGGCGUCCGUGGGACCCUCGGUGCAACGAGCUUUUAGGAGCACGCAUCGAGUUGCAAGGACCUUCCGGGCCGGUCUCCUUUACCAUUUUACAAGGUUGACCUCGGAUCAGGUAGGAAUACCCGCUGAACUUAAGCAUAUCAAUAAGCGGAGGA